UACGAAGGGGGCUAGCGUUGCUCGGAAUCACUGGGCGUAAAGCGCACGUAGGCGGAUUUUUAAGUCAGGGGUGAAAUCCUGGAGCUCAACUCCAGAACUGCCUUUGAUACUGGGAAUCUCGAGUCCGGGAGAGGUGAGUGGAACUGCGAGUGUAGAGGUGAAAUUCGUAGAUAUUCGCAAGAACACCAGUGGCGAAGGCGGCUCACUGGCCCGGUACUGACGCUGAGGUGCGAAAGCGUGGGGAGCAAACAGG
rnacentral:rRNA from 1 species